GACAGAGGCCUCAAGCGUUAGGCGGAAUCACUGGGCUUAAAGCGUGUGUAGGCGGAUCGUUAAGUGUCUUGUGAAAUCCCACGGCUCACCCGUGGAACGGCUGGGCAUACUGGCGAUCUUGGGCCAACUAGGGGGCAACUGGAACAAGCGGUGGAGCGGUGAAAUGCGUAGAUAUCGCUUGGAACGCCGGAAGGUGAAAAACAGGUUGCUGG
rnacentral:rRNA from 1 species